UUUGUAGAUCUACAUUGCAAUUUCCAAGAAUGUUUCAAGUUGUUCCUGAAGAUUGAUUUCUGAAAAAUGCAAAUGAAAGGUAUAUAUGAUCUUUACUCUCUAAUUUGUAGCCUGCAUAUUUUAAUCCAUUCAGUGGCCAGUGUCGAUUAUAACAGUUGGAAAUCGGCUAUUUGCAAAACACUUAAUGGCCGAUUAAUUUUAUUACUGUAGAUCAAAUACACAGUUUCCAUUUAAAUUAAAGGUACAUUUAAGAUUUGUACCUACUGUCGAAAAAGGAUAAAUAAAGCAACUGUGAAAGAACACAAAACAUUUUCUUGGCUUCCUUGCAACAAGCAACAAAAUCCUGUCACAAGUGUGUGUUACCAGAUAUGCAGAAAAUUUAGGAACAUUUAUGGGAACAAGAAAUUUUUGGUUGCAUGAAUUGUUGGGACUGCUUACCAAAACUUGUGUAACGUGAUCAUGCCAGGAAGUUUCACAGGCUGUCAAUUAAAUAUUGAAAAGCUGGUUGCGACCAUUGUUGGCCAAUGUUUGAGCAACUGCGCAGUUUGACAUUUGUCAGAUCCAAAUUAAAUCGUUAUAAUCCAUACCUUUGGUCAAGUACUCUCCCCUUGAUGAAUAAAAUUAUCUGGCAUUAGACAACAAAAUAAUUAAGUAGGACGCAUUGCCACUUAAGGGGUUAAUUAAUCCCCAUUAUUAAUUCCCAAGCCUCUCUUCUUGAUGGUAGAAUUGAACAUUAAUCUGUUUCAUCCAAUUCUUUAUAUGGUACUCAUCUUAAAUAAUUAUUAUUUCAAACUUUUCUAGAUGUAUGUUGCAAGUUCCAAGAAUGUCUCAAUUUUUGGCUGAAGUGUUGUAGAUCGCACAAAGUGAACAUUGUUGACAGAAAGUGUAAGAAAGGUCUUAUUUUUAUGUCUUAUUUUAAUUAUAAAAUGCUUUGAACAUUAUACAAUUUCCUGUGACCAGUGGCUGUUUUUUUUUUACCAUCAUAUUGAUGACAAAAACGACAACAAAAAUAUAAAAACCUGAAAUGAAGUUGGUGUUAAAUCCACAAUAUUCAUUGUCAAUAUUUAUAUUAUUAAUUUAUACAAUUAUUUUGGUGAAUAUAAAUUUGGAUAUAGAUAAAAGUUUCAUGCUCACUUGGUUGUUCAAGUUUUGUGUUGCCCCCAAUCACGGAAUAUCUCAAAUGUUCAAAGUAUUUUAAUUUCGGAACAAGCCAAAAAAUGAUAAACUGUUUGUGUUUUAAAAAAGUUAAAAUUUUUCCUUUUUAUUUGAAUCGGUACGGACAUAAAUACUUUUUCUGUUUGG
rnacentral:lncRNA from 1 species